rnacentral:rRNA from 1 species
CAAAGACUUGGUCCUGACUUUACUAUCAGCUCUAACUGAACUUACACAUGCAAGUCUCCGCAUUCCUGUGAGGAUGCCCUUAAUCCCCUGCCCGGGGACGAGGAGCCGGCAUCAGGCACGCCCAGGCAGCCCACGACGCCUUGCUAAGCCACACCCCCAAGGAAACUCA